rnacentral:rRNA from 1 species
GACGAACGCUGGCGGCGUGCUUAACACAUGCAAGUCGAACGGAAAGGCCCUGCUUGCAGGGUACUCGAGUGGCGAACGGGUGAGUAACACGUGGGUGAUCUGCCCUGCACUUCGGGAUAAGCCUGGGAAACUGGGUCUAAUACCGGAUAGGAGCCAUUUUUAGUGUGAUGGUUGGAAAGUUUUUUUCGGUGUAGGAUGAGCUCGCGGCCUAUCAGCUUGUUGGUGGGGUAAUGGCCUACCAAGGCGGCGACGGGUAGCCGGCCUGAGAGGGUGGACGGCCACAUUGGGACUGAGAUACGGCCCAGACUCCUACGGGAGGCAGCAGUGGGGAAUAUUGCACAAUGGGCGCAAGCCUGAUGCAGCGACGCCGCGUGGGGGAUGACGGCCUUCGGGUUGUAAACUCCUUUCGCUAGGGACGAAGCUUUUUGUGACGGUACCUAGAGAAGAAGCACCGGCUAACUACGUG